rnacentral:rRNA from 1 species
UGGGGAAUCUUGCGCAAUGGGCGAAAGCCUGACGCAGCCAUGCCGCGUGAAUGAUGAAGGUCUUAGGAUUGUAAAAUUCUUUCACCGGGGACGAUAAUGACGGUACCCGGAGAAGAAGCCCCGGCUAACUUCGUGCCAGCAGCCGCGGUAAUACGAAGGGGGCUAGCGUUGCUCGGAAUUACUGGGCGUAAAGGGCGCGUAGGCGGAUCGUUAAGUCAGGGGUGAAAUCCCGGGGCUCAACCUCGGAAUUGCCCUUGAUACUGGCGAUCUUGAGUAUGAGAGAGGUAUGUGGAACUCCGAGUGUAGAGGUGAAAUUCGUAGAUAUUCGGAAGAACACCAGUGGCGAAGGCGACAUACUGGCUCAUUACUGACGCUGAGGCGCGAAAGCGUGGGGAGCAAACA